rnacentral:rRNA from 1 species
GACGAACGCUGGCGGCGUGCCUAAUACAUGCAAGUCGAACGAACUCUGGUAUUGAUUGGUGCUUGCAUCAUGAUUUACAUUUGAGUGAGUGGCGAACUGGUGAGUAACACGUGGGAAACCUGCCCAGAAGCGGGGGAUAACACCUGGAAACAGAUGCUAAUACCGCAUAACAACUUGGACCGCAUGGUCCGAGUUUGAAAGAUGGCUUCGGCUAUCACUUUUGGAUGGUCCCGCGGCGUAUUAGCUAGAUGGUGAGGUAACGGCUCACCAUGGCAAUGAUACGUAGCCGACCUGAGAGGGUAAUCGGCCACAUUGGGACUGAGACACGGCCCAAACUCCUACGGGAGGCAGCAGUAGGGAAUCUUCCACAAUGGACGAAAGUCUGAUGGAGCAACGCCGCGUGAGUGAAGAAGGGUUUCGGCUCGUAAAACUCUGUUGUUAAAGAAGAACAUAUCUGAGAGUAACUGUUCAGGUAUUGACGGUAUUUAACCAGAAAGCCACAGCUAACUACAUGCCAGCAGCCGCGGUAAUACGUAGGUGGCAAGCGUUGUCCGGAUUUAUUGGGCGUAAAGCGAGCGCAGGCGGUUUUUUAAGUCUGAUGUGAAAGCCUUCGGCUCAACCGAAGAAGUGCAUCGGAAACUGGGAAACUUGAGUGCAGAAGAGGACAGUGGAACUCCAUGUGUAGCGGUGAAAUGCGUAGAUAUAUGGAAGAACACCAGUGGCGAAGGCGGCUGUCUGGUCUGUAACUGACGCUGAGGCUCGAAAGUAUGGGUAGCAAACAGGAUUAGAUACCCUGGUAGUCCAUACCGUAAACGAUGAAUGCUAAGUGUUGGAGGGUUUCCGCCCUUCAGUGCUGCAGCUAACGCAUUAAGCAUUCCGCCUGGGGAGUACGGCCGCAAGGCUGAAACUCAAAGGAAUUGACGGGGGCCCGCACAAGCGGUGGAGCAUGUGGUUUAAUUCGAAGCUACGCGAAGAACCUUACCAGGUCUUGACAUACUAUGCAAAUCUAAGAGAUUAGACGUUCCCUUCGGGGACAUGGAUACAGGUGGUGCAUGGUUGUCGUCAGCUCGUGUCGUGAGAUGUUGGGUUAAGUCCCGCAACGAGCGCAACCCUUAUUAUCAGUUGCCAGCAUUAAGUUGGGCACUCUGGUGAGACUGCCGGUGACAAACCGGAGGAAGGUGGGGAUGACGUCAAAUCAUCAUGCCCCUUAUGACCUGGGCUACACACGUGCUACAAUGGAUGGUACAACGAGUUGCGAACUCGCGAGAGUAAGCUAAUCUCUUAAAGCCAUUCUCAGUUCGGAUUGUAGGCUGCAACUCGCCUACAUGAAGUCGGAAUCGCUAGUAAUCGCGGAUCAGCAUGCCGCGGUGAAUACGUUCCCGGGCCUUGUACACACCGCCCGUCACACCAUGAGAGUUUGUAACACCCAAAGUCGGUGGGGUAACCUUUUAGGAACCAGCCGCCUAAGGUGGGACAGAUGAUUAGGGUGAAGUCGUAACAAGGUAGCCGUAG